GACAGAGGGGGCAAGCGUUGCUCGGAAUCACUGGGCGUAAAGGGCGCGUAGGCGGCCGCCUAAGUCAGACGUGAAAUCCCUCGGCUCAACCGGGGAACUGCGUCUGAUACUGGGUGGCUUGAAUCCGGGAGAGGGAUGCGGAAUUCCAGGUGUAGCGGUGAAAUGCGUAGAUAUCGGGAGGAACACCAGUGGCGAAGGCGACUACCUGGCCUGUUCUUGACGCUGAGGCGCGAAAGCUAGGGGAGCAAACGGG
rnacentral:rRNA from 1 species